rnacentral:rRNA from 1 species
GACGAACGCUGGCGGCGUGCUUAACACAUGCAAGUCGAACGGAAAGGCCCUGCUUUUGUGGGGUGCUCGAGUGGCGAACGGGUGAGUAACACGUGAGUAACCUGCCCUUGACUUUGGGAUAACUUCAGGAAACUGGGGCUAAUACCGGAUAGGAGCUCCUGCUGCAUGGUGGGGGUUGGAAAGUUUCGGCGGUUGGGGAUGGACUCGCGGCUUAUCAGCUUGUUGGUGGGGUAGUGGCUUACCAAGGCUUCGACGGGUAGCCGGCCUGAGAGGGUGACCGGCCACAUUGGGACUGAGAUACGGCCCAGACUCCUACGGGAGGCAGCAGUGGGGAAGAUUGCACGAGGGGCGGAGGCCUGAUGCAGCAGCGCCGCGUGCGGGAUGACGGCCUUCGGGUUGUAAACCGCUUUCGCCUGUGACGAAGCGUGAGUGACGGUAAUGGGUAAAGAAGCACCGGCUAACUACGUG